UACGUAGGCAGCGAGCGUUGUUCGGAAUUACUGGGCGUAAAGAGUGUGUAGGCGGUGCUCUAAGUUCGGUGUGAAAUCUCCUGGCUCAACUGGGAGGGUGCGCCGGAAACUGGAGUGCUUGAGCGUGGGAGAGGAAAGCGGUAUUCCUGGUGUAGCGGUGAAAUGCGUAGAUAUCAGGAGGAACACCUGUGGUGUAGACGGCUUUCUGGACCUAGCUGACGCUGAGACACGAAAGCGUGGGUAGCAAACAGG
rnacentral:rRNA from 1 species